rnacentral:rRNA from 1 species
GGUGAGUAACGCGUGGGUAACCUGCCUCAUACAGGGGGAUAACAGUUAGAAAUGACUGCUAAUACCGCAUAAGCGCACAGUGCUGCAUGGCACAGUGUGAAAAACUCCGGUGGUAUGAGAUGGACCCGCGUCUGAUUAGCUAGUUGGUGGGGUAACGGCCUACCAAGGCGACGAUCAGUAGCCGGCCUGAGAGGGUGAACGGCCACAUUGGGACUGAGACACGGCCCAAACUCCUACGGGAGGCAGCAUG